rnacentral:rRNA from 1 species
AAUGGUAGGGUUUGAUCAUGGCUCAGAUUGAACGCUGGCGGGAUGUUUACACAUGCGAGUCGAACGGCAGCACGACUUCGGUCUGGUGGCGAGUGGCGAACGGGCGGAGUAAUGUAUCGGAACGUGCCUAGUAGCGGGGAUAACUACGCGAAAGCAGAAGCAUUGGUCGCGAUGGCUGUAGUUCCUUCGGGGGAAAGCGGGGACCUUUCGGCCUCGGCAUUAUUAGAGCGGCCGAUAUCGGAUUAGCUAGCUGGUGGGGCAACGGUUCAUCAAGGCGACGAUCCGUAGCUGGUUUGAGAGGACGACCAGCCAUUAAUUGGGACCGAGACACGGCCCAGACUCACGGGAGGCAGCAGUGGGGAAUUUUGGGACAAUGGGGAAACUCCUGAUCCAGCCAUCCCAUGCGGUGGUGAUGCGAAGGCCUUCGGUUGUAAAGCACUUUGGCAGGAAAGAAACGGCACGGGAUAAUACCCCGUGCAACUGACGGUACCCGGGUAGAAUAAGCACCGGCUAACCACAGCCAGCAGCCGCGGUAAUACGUAGGGUGCAAGCGUUAAUCGGAAUUACUGGGCGUAAAGCGUGCGCAGGCGGUUCGGAAAGAAAGAUGUGAAAUCCCAGAGCUUAACUUUGGAACUGCAUUUUUAACUACCGAGCUAGAGUGUGUCAGGAGUGAGGUGGAAUUCCGCGUGUAGCAGUGAAAUGCGUAGAUAUGCGGAGAACACCGAUGGCGAAGGCAGCCUCCUGGGACACUGACGCUCAUGCACGAAAGCGUGGGGAGCAAACAGGAUUAGAUACCCUGGUAGUCCACGCCCUAAACGAUGUCAACUAGCUGUUGGGGCCUCGGGCCUUGGUGGCGCAGCUAACGCAGGUUGACCGCCUGGGGAGUACGGUCGCAAGAUUAAAACUCAAAGGAAUUGACGGGGACCCGCACAAGCGGUGGAUGAUGUGGAUUAAUUCGAUGCAACGCGAAAAACCUUACCUACCCUUGACAUGUCUGGAAUCCCGAAGAGAUUUGGGAGUGCUCGCAAGAGAACCGGAACACAGGUGCUGCAUGGCUGUCGUCAGCUCGUGUCGUAGAUGGGUUAAGUCCCGCAACGAGCGCAACCCUUGUCAUUAGUUGCUACGAAAGGGCACUCUAAUGAGACUGCCGGUGACAAACCGGAGGAAGGUGGGGAUGACGUCAAGUCCUCAUGGCCCUUAUGGGUAGGGCUUCACACGCUCAUACAAUGGUCGGGACAGAGGGUCGCCAACCCGCGAGGGGGAGCCAAUCCCAGAAACCCGAUCGUAGUCCGGAUCGCAGUCUGCAACUCGACUGCGUGGUUUGACCGCUAGUAAUCGCGGAUCAGCAUGUCGCGGUGAAUACGUUCCCGGGGUCUUGUACACACCGCCCGUCAAGACCAUGGGAGUGGGUUUUACCAGAAGUAGUUAGCCUAACCGUAAGGAGGGCGAUUACCACGGUAGGAUUCAUGACUGGGGUGAAGUCGUAAUAAGGUAA